CGUGUAGGCGGUUCGGUAAGUGGGAUGUGAAAUGCCCGGGCUCACCCCGGGACCUGCAUCCCAUACUGCUGAGCUUGAGUACAGGAGAGGGUGGGGGAAUUCCUGGUGUAGCGGUGAAAUGCGUAGAUAUCAGGAGGAACACCGGUGGCGAAGGCGCCCACCUGGCCUGCUACUGACGCUGAUGCGCGAAAGCUAGGGAGCAAACG
rnacentral:rRNA from 1 species